GUGUGUGUGUGUGUGUGUGUGUGUGUGUGUGUGUGUGUAUGUAUGUAUAUGUGUGUGUGUGUCUUUGUCUUUCUACACACACACACACACACACACACACACACCC
rnacentral:miRNA from 1 species